AUGGAGCUCUCAUCCCUCCUGCCCGCCCUGUCCCCGCGCCGCGCCCUCCCGCUCUCCUUCCCCACCGCGUCCAAGACGGCCCGGCGGCCGCGGCCGGCCGCCUUCGCCUGCCGCGCGGACGCCUCCCCGGAAGGGCCAUCAACCACCCGGCGAUGGUUCGCCUCGCUAGCCGCCGCCACCGCAGCCGUGGGGAUUGGCGUCGCCGGAGGAGGGGAGGCUGGCGCCGUGUCGACCAGCAGGAGAGUUUUCAGGAGCAACAAGAUUCCGGAGAGCGACUUCAUUACUCUGCCUAAUGGCAUCAAGUACUAUGACAUCAAAGUAGGAGGUGGGGCCAAAGCAGUUAAGGGAUCACGUGUCGCAGUACAUUACGUGGCCAAGUGGAAGGGCAUAACAUUCAUGACAAGUAGGCAGGGCCUCGGUGUCACUGGUGGAACGCCGUAUGGGUUUGAUGUUGGCAAUUCUGAAAGAGGCAAUGUUCUAAAAGGAUUGGAUCUCGGGGUUGAGGGAAUGAAAGUUGGAGGCCAGAGGUUGGUUAUUGUUCCUCCUGAGCUAGCUUAUGGAAAAAAGGGCGUUCAAGAAAUUCCUCCUAAUGCAACUAUUGAGCUGGAUGUCGAACUACUAUCAAUCAAACAGAGUCCAUUCGGGAGUCCUGUGAAGAUCGUUGAAGGAUAA
rnacentral:rRNA from 1 species